rnacentral:rRNA from 1 species
UACGGGGGGGGCAAGCGUUGUUCGGAAUUACUGGGCGUAAAGGGCUCGUAGGCGGCCAACUAAGUCAGACGUGAAAUCCCUCGGCUUAACCUGGGAACUGCGUGUGAUACUGGAUGGCUUGAAUUCAGGAGAGGGAUGCAGAAUUCCAGGUGUAGCGGUGAAAUGCGUAGAUAUCUGGAGGAAUACCGGUGGCGAAGGCGGCAUCCUGGACCGACAUUGACGCUGAGGAGCGAAAGCUAGGGGAGCAAACGGG